UCACAGGCGCAAGUGCCGCAAACGCAGAGCCGCUCGGCAGUGGAGCUGUGUCAGGGGAAGCGGUCACACAGGGAGAGCCCGGAGAUGCUGUCCCACGGGAGCCCUUUGCCACGCCCUAGGAAAGGGAGAGAAAGGUCCAGGCUGCAAUUUCCCUAUAGCAUCACUGCAAUGGAGUUCAGUCCUAAUGAGUGUAGUUCUAAAUCUGUAAUCCAGUAACACAUGAGUCUUUAGAUCAAGAUCAUAGUUCAGUAGCUGUCAGGGAGUCCAUCAAGUCACCCAGGCCACCAGAACUGCAUGUGACAGGCCAAGAAUAUAAAAGACCUAAGUGCAUGGAGUUGGAGGAGCUGCUCCUUUUGCUGUAGUUACUGAAGACCAGGAUCUAGGUCCCAAGAGGACAUAAAGGGAAACUCCUGACACUGGAACUACACUCUUCUGUGCCAUUAGAAGGCUGUUGAGGAAGCUAGCCCAAGAGGAAGAAAAUGAAGCCGUUUUGUAGGAUCAGAGUGGAGACCCAGGUGCUGAGGAAAAAGGAAGAGACUAAGAAAAGAGAUGGAAGAACUCAUAAACAAGAUUGCUCAUGUUGGAUUCUGGAUGAACAGCAAGAUCCAGUUUUCACUGCUGAUGGAAAUUUUUAAACAGCAAGAAUAUAAAUCUGUGAAGAGGGAAACAUACAAAGCUACAAGAUGGAGGUAUAUGAGAAUCCUUGACAUAGCUUAGAAACACAAAGUUGGUCUUAGUUUAUCUGUUUGGUAAAUCCUGUAUUAAAAUUCUUGCUGCUCCUCAGAAAAUUCUGCGGAUUUGUAAACCAGCUGUUUAUUUCCUUCAGUCCUAAUCUUAUGUUUGUAAUAAAAGCAUUUGGAAACUUCA